CACAUCCCUAUUGUUCUUACGGUAAAAGAACAACAACUUUCCUUUGCCUUAGACUAAAUCUUCUUUCUUCCAGUCUAAAUGCAUGACCUUGUGUCCUCUGUAUAGUCUGUUUAUGAAUAGAUUUCCACACAAUGGUUUGUAUUGGCCUCAGAUAUAUUUGUAUAAGUUAUCAUAUCGCCUCUGAGACACGCUUUUCUAAACUAAAGAGGUUUAAAUUUGUUAAACUUUCUUCAUAGCUAAAAUGUUCCUUUUAAUUAAUUUUGUAGCACUUUUUCUAAGGGGAUGUCGGUGUUUAAUAUUUGGG